rnacentral:rRNA from 1 species
GAUGAACGCUAGCUACAGGCUUAACACAUGCAAGUCGAGGGGAAACGAUAUUGGAAGCUUGCUUCCGAUAGGCGUCGACCGGCGCACGGGUGAGUAACGCGUAUCCAACCUGCCCACCACUUGGGGAUAACCUUGCGAAAGUAAGACUAAUACCCAAUGAUAUCUCUAGAAGACAUCUGAAGGAGAUUAAAGAUUUAUCGGUGAUGGAUGGGGAUGCGUCUGAUUAGCUUGUUGGCGGGGUAACGGCCCACCAAGGCGACGAUCAGUAGGGGUUCUGAGAGGAAGGUCCCCCACAUUGGAACUGAGACACGGUCCAAACUCCUACGGGAGGCAGCAGUGAGGAAUAUUGGUCAAUGGGCGAGAGCCUGAACCAGCCAAGUAGCGUGCAGGAUGAUGGCCCUAUGGGUUGUAAACUGCUUUUAUAAGGGAAUAAAGUGAGUCUCGUGAGACUUUUUGCAUGUACCUUAUGAAUAAGGACCGGCUAAUUCCGUGCCAGCAGCCGCGGUAA